UACGUAGGGUGCGAGCGUUGCCCGGAUUUAUUGGGCGUAAAGGGCGCGUAGGCGGUCACGCACGUCCGUUGUGAAAUCGCUCGGCUCAACUGGGCGGGGUCAGCGGAUACGGCGUGGCUGGAGCAAGCUAGGGGGCAAUGGAAUUCCCGGUGUAGUGGUGGAAUGCGUAGAGUAUCAGGAGGAACACCGGUGGUGUAGACGGCUUUCUGGACCGUAACUGACGCUGAGACACGAAAGCGUGGGUAGCAAACAGG
rnacentral:rRNA from 1 species